rnacentral:rRNA from 1 species
GAUGAACGCUGGCGGCGUGCUUAACACAUGCAAGUCGAACGGGAUCCAAGGGGUGCUUGCACUUUUUGGUGAGAGUGGCGAACGGGUGAGUAACACGUGAGUAACCUGUCCUUUUCUUUGGGAUAAGCAUUCGAAAGGGUGUUUAAUACCUUAUGUUCUGUCUGCCUCGCAUGGGGUGGGUGGGAAAGGCUUUGGCCGGAUUUGGGUGGGCUCGCGGUCUAUCAGCUUGUUGGUGGGGUGAUGGCUUACCAAGGCUUUGACGGGUAGCCGGCCUGAGAGGGUGGUCGGUCACAUUGGGACUGAGAUACGGCCCAGACUCCUGCGGGAGGCAGCAGUGGGGGAUAUUGCACAAUGGGCGAAAGCCUGAUGCAGCGACGCCGCGUGGGGGAUGAAGGCCGUCGGGUUGUAAACUUCUGUUGCUCUGAACAAGGCAUGCCAGUGGGUGUGUUGAGUGUAGGGGUUGAUUAGCGCCGGCUAACUACGUG